rnacentral:rRNA from 1 species
AGAGUUUGAUCCUGGCUCAGAAUCAACGCUGGCGGCGUGCCUAACACAUGCAAGUCGAACGCGGUUAGUAGCAAUACUAACUGAGUGGCAAACGGGUGAGUAACGCGUGGGUGACCUACCUUCGAGUGGGGGAUAACGUCCCGAAAGGGACGCUAAUACCGCAUAACAUCCUGUCCUUGAACGGAUGGAGAUCAAAGCCGGGGAUCGUAAGACCUGGCGCUUGAUGAGGGGCCCGCGUCUGAUUAGCUAGUUGGUGAGGUAACGGCCCACCAAGGCGACGAUCAGUAUCCGGCCUGAGAGGGCGGACGGACACACUGGGACUGAGACACGGCCCAGACUCCUACGGGAGGCAGCAGUGGGGAAUUGUUCGCAAUGGGCGCAAGCCUGACGACGCAACGCCGCGUGGAGGAUGAAGGUCUUCGGAUUGUAAACUCCUGUUGCCCGGGACGAAACGCUCCGACCUAACACGUCGGAGUCUGACGGUACCGGGUGAGGAAGCCCCGGCUAACUCUGUGCCAGCAGCCGCGGUAAUACAGAGGGGGCUAGCGUUGUUCGGAAUUACUGGGCGUAAAGGGCGCGUAGGUGGCCUGUUAAGUCGAACGU